rnacentral:misc_RNA from 1 species
AAGUCGUAACAAGGUUUCCGUAGGUGAACCUGCGGAAGGAUCAUUAUCGAGUCUUCUCAUUCAGCUUAGCAUUGGCUGUGCAGUCUUGCACGCCAUUGCUGAGACGAAUGUUUGACUUACACACACCUGUGCACUUUGACUUGUCUGCAUCCGUUCACACGAUUUUUUUUCGUGUGUGUUUCUCUCCUUGCGAGGGAAAUUUUGGAGUGUUGCGGUGAGCUGCAAAGCUCGUAGCUCGCUCUGGGAGGCGAAAAGACAAGUCUUUUUUUUACACCAUCCUGUAUGUCUUUUGAAAAUUGUCGAUUGCUCUGUAAUGGAGUGAUCGUUUAAAUAAAUACAACUUUCAGCAACGGAUCUCUUGGCUCUCC